rnacentral:lncRNA from 1 species
AAAUUAUCUUAGCUGUUAAUUAUUAUAAUUUAAUUUACUAAAAAAAUACAAAAAUUGACAAAUUUAAUAAUAUUAUAUAUAAUUUAAUAAUAUUUUUAAUUUUUAUGUUCAAAAUUAUAUAUUUUUUUUAGAGAGAUAGAUAGCACGCUACCCGCUUCGUUUAUUUCAUUUAAAAAUAAACUUAGCUGGAAAUGUGAAUCAAUUAGAAUUCGAACUUGGGUCUCGGAUAUCAACCAUCAAGGCUUUUGCCACUUGCUCUAGGAACAGUCGGUAUGUCCAAAAUUAAUUAAUUCCAAAAAAUU